ensembl:snoRNA
UAGCAUGGGUCCGCACAUGGGUAGCAACGCUCAUUCUGGUGCGUUCAAAGGACAGUAUAAUAGAAAUUCAAUAUCUGGCAUUGUAGGUUUUCUUGGCUUUGUGCUUGUUAAUCCUGGUAUUUCUAUUGAUGCAGUU